UGGCACUGGGAAGGACAAUCAGAGUCUCUGGGUCCACACAGGACACAAUAAUAUACAGUGGACAAACAUCUAGCUUGGCAUGGGAGGCUUUCUGUGCUCGACAAAAAUGGCGCAUCCCAAACAAGAGCACUGCUUUCACAAAUCCUGUACCAAAUGGUGUGUAACAGAGACAAAGCAACUGGAUGGACCCUCCGCCCGGCCCACGUUAAUGCUGAGGUCUAUAUGGGAAAGGCGCUGUAUAAAUAAAAUGUAUUAUUAUUAUUA